GCGAGCGUAGCCAAGUGGUUAAGGCAGAGGUUUGUGGUACCUCCAUCCCGCGGGUUCGAUCCCCGUCGUUCGCC
rnacentral:tRNA from 3 species